CAGCCACACUGGAACUGAGACACGGUCCAGACUCCUACGGGAGGCAGCAGUGGGGAAUAUUGCACAAUGGGCGCAAGCCUGAUGCAGCCAUGCCGCGUGUAUGAAGAAGGCCUUCGGGUUGUAAAGUACUUUCAGCGGGGAGGAAGGGAGUAAAGUUAAUACCUUUGCUCAUUGACGUUACCCGCAGAAGAAGCACCGGCUAACUCCGUGCCAGCAGCCGCGGUAAUACGGAGGGUGCAAGCGUUAAUCGGAAUUACUGGGCGUAAAGCGCACGCAGGCGGUUUGUUAAGUCAGAUGUGAAAUCCCCGGGCUCAACCUGGGAACUGCAUCUGAUACUGGCAAGCUUGAGUCUCGUAGAGGGGGGUAGAAUUCCAGGUGUAGCGGUGAAAU
rnacentral:rRNA from 1 species